CAGUAGCCGCGGGAAUACGAAGGGUGCAAGCGUUAAUCGGAAUUACUGGGCGUAAAGCGUGCGUAGGCGGUGAGUUAAGUCUGCUGUGAAAUCCCCGGGCUCAACCUGGGAAUGGCAGUGGAUACUGGCUCGCUAGAGUGUGUCAGAGGAUGGUGGAAUUCCCGGUGUAGCGGUGAAAUGUGUAGAGAUCGGGAGGAACAUCAGUGGCGAAGGCGGCCAUCUGGGACAACAUUGACGCUGAGGCACGAAAGCGUGGGGAGCAAACAGGAUUAGAUACCCGUGUAGUCCCUGUCUCUUAUAC
rnacentral:rRNA from 1 species